AUUGAACGCUGGCGGGAUGCUUUACACAUGCAAGUCGAGCGAGUGGCGGACGGGUGAGUAAUGUAUGGGGAACUGCCUGAUAGCGGGGGAUAACUACUGGAAACGGUAGCUAAUACCGCAUACCAUUAGAUCAGCCCAUAUGGGAUUAGCUUGUAGGUGGGGUAACGGCUCACCAAGGCGACGAUCCCUCGCUGGUCUGAGAGGAUGAUCAGCCACACUGGUACUGAGACACGGCCCAGACUCCUACGGGAGGCAGCAGUGGGGAAUAUUGCACAAUGGGGGCAAGCCUGAUGCAGCCAUGCCGCGGGUAUGAAGAAGGCCUUCGGGUUGUAAAGUACUUUCAGUCGGGAGGCGUUACCGACAGAAGAAGCACCGGCUAACUCCGUGCCAGCAGCCGCGGUAAUAC
rnacentral:rRNA from 1 species